CUCUCUCUCUCAAUUUCUCCUUCUGUUUCUCCAAUCUCUCAGCCACCACCCACGCCAUCAGCCACCGCAAGCACACCAGGCACAAGCAACCAUCACCACACAACACCACAACCAAGCCCCUUUACGUCAGACAAGUGCCGCAAGCCACCAUCGCACGCCUCUUUCCUCACCGAAGCUUCCAGCUCCUCUAUACCCAGCCACUGUUCGUCAUACAGAACCACCUAGUUGUGCCCAACUCCAUCGCCUCCUUCUUCCACAGACCACAAAGUCGUGAUCCCUCAUGGAGAUGUCCCUUUUCUCUCCUCGCCCACGCAGCAUCUAGUUCCAUCUCUAACCAGCCCCUAAAUUUUGGCGGAUGUUGAGAAACGAGCUAGAUGGCUUAAACUUCAAUGAGCUCCAGAACCUAGAGGACCAGUUGAGUGAAGGGGUAUUAUCUAUCGGUGAAGGACAAGGUCUUUUGCUCUCAAAUAUGCUGCUGAAGCUGCUUGCACUAUGCUUCAUGUAUACCAAGUAGUUGAACAUGAGAAUGUGCCAUUUCAUUUUGGUUAUAUUCUUUUUGUUUGAAUCUUUUGUCAGUGAAACUCAAGAAGUCUAUUUUUUUUUUUCCUUAGAACUAUGGUGCCAUUUCUUUUUUUGAAGAUGAUGACAAGAGAUAUCAUUUGGAACUCAAGUAUACAUUUAAGAUCAAAAGAGCAGUUAGAAAAUACUUAGUGUUACCAACUUUAAGUCACUAAGCUCCCACUAGUAAAUUUCCACUAAGACCAUAGCUUUUCCGACCACAUGUCCUUGUGGGAAAAGCCAACAAAUGUUGUAGUGAUAAUGGAAUAUAUUAGUGUGUAUUAGUAA